GAUGCAAAGCAUUGUCCAUCCACCAUUUUUCCUUAGAUGUUCUUCUGCUCCAGAAUACUGCACCUAGAGAAUAAAAAACCAAUUCAAAUAUAAAGAACAUUCAGC
rnacentral:lncRNA from 12 species